AAAAAAAAAAGUUAAGAGAGUAAGAUUCCCUAUUUUGUUGACCCGCCCUACUGUGCAUGAAUACAUUGAGCUUGGCUGGAUUGAUCAAAAAAUAAAAGUUUUUCUGCUUUUGAUAAAAAAAAAUUAUAAAAAGAACAAGUUUUCAUUUUUGUCGGGCCACCCUAGUAUGCAUGCAUGUAUUUAGCUUGGCUGGUUUGAUAGAAUAAAAUAAAAAUAAUAAGUUUUCCUGUUUUUGAUAAAAAAAAUUAA